rnacentral:rRNA from 1 species
AACGAACGCUGGCGGCAUGCCUAACACAUGCAAGUCGAACGAGACCUUCGGGUCUAUUGGCGCACGGGUGCGUAACGCGUGGGAACCUGCCCUUAGGUUCGGAAUAACUCCCCGAAAGGGGUGCUAAUACCGGAUAAUGUCUUCGGACCAAAGAUUUAUCGCCCUUGGAUGGGCCCGCGUUGGAUUAGCUAGUUGGUAGGGUAAAAGCCGACCAAGGAGACGAUCCAUAGCUGGUCUGAGAGGAUGAUCAGCCACACUGGGACUGAGACACGGACCAGACUCCUACGGGAGGCAGGAGUGGGGAAUAUUGGACGAUGGGCGAAAGCCUGAUCCAGCCAUGCCGCGUGAGUGAUGAAGGCCUUAGGGUUGUAAAGCUCUUUUACCCGGGAUGAUAAUGACAGUACCUGGAGAAUAAGCACCGGCUAACUCCGUG